rnacentral:rRNA from 1 species
UACAGAGGGUGCGAGCGUUGUCCGGAAUCACUGGGCGUAAAGGGCGCGUAGGUGGCCCGACAAGUCAAUGGUGAAAGCUCGACGCUUAACGUCGAGUCGGCCACUGAUACUGUUGGGCUGGAGCACUGUAGAGGCUCAUGGAAUUCCGGGUGUAGCGGUGGAAUGCGUAGAGAUCCGGAAGACACCGGUGGCGAAGGCGGUUCUCUGGGCCUGUACUGACGCUGAGGAGCGAAAGCGUGGGGAGCGAACAGG